rnacentral:piRNA from 1 species
UCCAGCGCAGUGGCCUGAGAUGACAACAUGU